CUCUCUGGGGCUCUCUCAGAUUCUCUCUCUGGUUCGCUUGAUUGUGAGGGACAUCAGGGAAAAUGGUGGCGGUUAUAGCAACGGUGACGACGCCAUCGUCUCUCUCUUCACCGGAGCGGAGGCGUUCUCUUGAAGAUUUCUUGGAUUUCCAGCGGAAACGAGAGAACGGGUUUCUCCCUCUCGAUCACUCUCUCGACGGGGUCUCGAAUCUCCGGCGAAAACCAGAGAACUGGUCUCUCCCUCUCAAUCGCUCUCGGUUCCGGUGUUUCUGAGAGUUUUUCGACGGAUUUCUCUUUCGCUCUGAGGCAAGGAUUGGUGACAUCGGUGACAAUGCCCACGCUUAACUGAUCUUCUCUCUGGAUCGGGCUCACCGGAUCGGUGAGCUCUCUUUCUAUCACUCUCGAUCCGUUAGGGUUUCGAUUCUUGUUUCAACCCGUUCGAGUCGUGGAUUCUAAUCUCUCUCUCUCUCUUUCUCGAUCGCUCUCUUUGGUGAUCUUGCUCUCGGCCGGAUCUAACGGUCUCGUCGCGGAUCGCAUCCUUCCGGAGCUCGAGGUACUGGGGUUCGGAACCGCACCAAGUUUGGAGGUUUCGGUUCAUCUCUAAGGACAAAACUCCGAAACCCCUUAACGACAGCUGCUCUCUGUCUCUGGCUUGAUCAGGUUCUCUCUCUCGAUCGCUCUGUCUCGCGCUAGUUUUGUCGCUCUCUCUCUCUCUCUCUCGGACCGCUCUCUCUGGCUCGAAUCACGAUCUGUAUCUGGAAAACCGCUAGGUUUUGUAUCUGGUGUUGAAGUAGAUCAUGAUUUCAGUUGUAGAGUAGGACUAGUUGUGAUUGGAUUUCAUAGUCAAAAUAUAAGAGUGAUGUUGCUACGAAUGUUAGUCAUGAGAGGGCAAAAGAAAACUGAGGGUUUGAAUAAACAAGUAGGGGUUAUUAAUUCAAAGGUGGAGAUUGAGAACUUUAGAGUGAAAGCAGUAUCGUAUUGAAGAUACGCUAUUAAUUCGAGCCUGCUUGGAUUAUGAUGUGGUCGUGUGAUUUUAAAUCGCUAAUUCUCCCUUUGCGUUUUGGUCACUAAGCUGAGAUACCUGCCAUAUGUUUGUGAAAUGCCUGAAUGAAUAUCUGCAUAGUGUCUUCAUCAGUCUAUAUGCAAAAUGUUCAUGGCUUACUAAAUCAUGAUGCCCAUAUUGAUUUCAUCUUGCCUACUGUUGAUCCAAUCAAUCUGAAUAAUUUCAGCAUUAUGGCAUGUUUAAAACCUAUACCCAUUGGCAUCGCUAACUUUAAGUGAUAUUCGUUUCCACUUCGAAUCAGAUUGAGUUUUAGAAAGUAAUAAAUCUCUGUUUUGGUCUUGUUUUACUCAAAUUUGGGGAGUUUUCUCGAUCAAGUAGAGAUCUAUUGAUAGAUGAAACUAACGGUUGAAGUUGGCGGAUAUAAGCAGAAAUUUGUAGAAAUAGAAACAUGGUUUGUUACUUUUGUCUACCCUUUUAAGGUUGUAGGGUUUGCUGUGAUUCAUUGUUAAAACUACUCUUUGUGCAUUGUCUGGAUGGUUUUAUAAACCAUUAGUUAUGCAUUAUGAUUCUAAUUCAUUUGUGGUUAAUUUGUAUGUCCUCAUGAUGAUCAUUUUUCAACUAUCAAUUUGACGUCAAUUGGACUCAACUUCUCUUAAGAAGUAGGCUCGUUUUAAUCUUUCCUAUGAUGCUGAUCUCGCAUGAUUUGCGAUGAGUUGAUGACUUUUGAUGAUGAACAUUGAAGUUGAUUGAACUUGAUUUGCCUUAGUCUGCAAUUUCGUAUAUCUGAUAUGUCACUCUUUGUUUUGGCUGAAACGAGGUGCCAGAUGAGGUUUGUUGAUCUUGAGCUCUUCUAGACAUAAAAAAUACACUUCUAGAGCUUCGAUUUGAUAUGUCGCACGCCCAUAGUGGAUGUUGUUUGGUUGUUGAAAAAAAUUUUUGAAUUCUGUCAAUUCUGCAGCAGUUUUAGAUUGUUUUGCUGUUUCGACUUACUGAUGUUCUGUUUUGACUAGAACGAGUUGGUAAAUGAUGUUAUUAGGACUUAAUGUCUUCUAGAGAUUUGUAAUAGGGUUCUCAAGCUUUCCAUUGACAUAUUAUAUGUGCAAUUUGGUCAUCAUUUUCCCUGCCUUUCCUUCUUUUAAAUCGAGCUUUGAAAUCUGGAAUUUGUCUUGAACUGCAAUGCUGUCUUUUCUGUGGCUAGUUGCUGUUAGUCUUGAAACGAAAUAGUAGACGUGUCCAGUUACUUUCAAUAUGUUGUAGAAUGCCUAUGUUACAUAUUGCCCUGUUCUAUUAUAGACUGACUAGUUCAUGUUCUAGUAUUUUUAGAAAUUCAUGUGUUGAUAUGAUGAUAGUGUCUCUAUGAGAUUUAUUUGGGAUAUCACCUAGAAUUUGAUCUAGAGACUUUGUGACUUUAGUCACUCUUUUUGAAUACAAAAGAUGUCUUGCUUUUGAUUGUUUUGAUACGUGAUGUUUGUUUCUCUCAUUUGUAUGUACCUAGUUAUUAGUUUCUUGGACUAGAUUUAGAAUAAGUUCCUGAACAUGGAUAAAGCAUGAAGAGGGUGGAGGUCGAUGUCCAUUCCAACUGUUGUCAUGUACUAUUUUUUUUCCCGAUAUAUGUCUCGGGUUCCAUGCAUUGUAUAAAACCCGACGAGUUGCGGGUUUCAUUUCUUUCCCAAUUGUUUUCUCUUUUAUAUUUUGUGGCAUCCUAAAAUUCCUUGCCAGUCAUUAGGGGUGCUCAAAUUAAUGUCUUGUAUUAAGGACUAUGGCCGAGUUUUAGUGGAUAAAUUUUGGAAAAGGGUGGCCUAUCUUUGGCCAUAUGUAUUGUGAAUUAGAAUUUAUGGAUUUGUGAUUUCAAGUGUAUAGCUAUUUAAUUUUUACACUAUAGUACUUUGGUUCAAUAAGGAUUUAAUUAGUAUUAAAAAUGGGUUAAAAUUUGAUUUAAUUAGGCUUGGGUCUUAGGCCCAAUAGUGUGGACCUAUGAUGGGCCAAAAGGCCGGCCCAUGAAGCCAUGAAAGGCUGCUGUCGACCACAAGGAGAGAGGGGAGAGGCCGGCCCACCUUCAAGCCCAUAAUGCAUGGGUUUUGCCAAGUGGCAAAAAGGAGAGUCACACCAUUGGCCACU
rnacentral:lncRNA from 1 species